rnacentral:misc_RNA from 1 species
GUUGAAAUGAGUGAGGCCCAUAAUAGGUCCAUCCAGUGAGCAAAUGCGUCAAUCCACAAAGGAUUAUAAAAGCUAUAAACUGAAGGAGGACCCAUUUAAAUGGAAAGUUGGAGCAGCUAACAAAGUAAAGAAGUUCGAUAGGUAUUGAAAAAUACGCUAUUGCAAUCAAGAAAUCACUGACCCUCUGACUCUCCAGAAUGCUAUGUAUGCUCCAAAAACCCCAUCGCAGUUACAAUUAACAAACUCGUUGUCAAGGGCAGAGACCGAGAUCAUAAUAUAUGAUAUCAGAAAGAAUAUUCCAGGAGCUAAUGCUCUUAACAUUGCACCCAAGUCAACACUUGCUCAACACAUUCUUGUCAAAGUUCCUCAAUCUUAGAAACCCCUUAGAUUCUAGAAUUCAUAGUAGCAGAAAAACAGGAGAAGACUACUCUGGCAUGGCCUCAAAAACCAUCAAUUAUUGUAAAACCACCAGAAGUAGUUGAAGAUCCAAAAUACUCACCUUUAUUUUUCAGUAUAAAAUAACAACAGUAACUUCUAGAUUUCAAGAUCUUGCACAACGACCUGACAAAAACUCCAUAAUUCCAC